rnacentral:rRNA from 1 species
UACGGAGGGGGAGCUAGCGUUGUUCGGAAUUACUGGGCGUAAAGCGCACGUAGGCGGCUUUGUAAGUUAGAGGUGAAAGCCCGGGGCUCAACUCCGGAAUUGCCUUUAAGACUGCAUCGCUAGAAUUGUGGAGAGGUAAGUGGAAUUCCGAGUGUAGAGGUGAAAUUCGUAGAUAUUCGGAAGAACACCAGUGGCGAAGGCGACUUACUGGACACAUAUUGACGCUGAGGUGCGAAAGCGUGGGGAGCAAACAGG